AGCGAACGCUGGCGGCAGGCCUAACACAUGCAAGUCGAACGGACCCUUCGGGGUUAGUGGCGGACGGGUGAGUAACACGUGGGAACGUGCCCUUUGGUUCGGAACAACUCAGGGAAACUUGAGCUAAUACCGAAUGUGCCCUUCGGGGGAAAGAUUUAUCGCCAUUGGAGCGGCCCGCGUCUGAUUAGCUAGUUGGUGGGGUAAUGGCCCACCAAGGCGACGAUCAGUAGCUGGUCUGAGAGGAUGAUCAGCCACAUUGGGACUGAGACACGGCCCAAACUCCUACGGGAGGCAGCAGUGGGGUAUCUUGCGCAAUGGGCGAAAGCCUGACGCAGCCAUGCCGCGUGAAUGAUGAAGGUCUUAGGAUUGUAAAAUUCUUUCACCGGGGACGAUAAUGACGGUACCCGGAGAAGAAGCCCCGGCUAACUUCGUGCCAGCCGCCGCCGUAACAC
rnacentral:rRNA from 1 species